rnacentral:rRNA from 1 species
CCUAACACAUGCAAGUCGAACGGUAACAGGAAACAGCUUGCUGUUUCGCUGACGAGUGGCGGACGGGUGAGUAAUGUCUGGGAAACUGCCUGAUGGAGGGGGAUAACUACUGGAAACGGUAGCUAAUACCGCAUAACGUCGCAAGACCAAAGAGGGGGACCCUCGGGCCUCUUGCCAUCGGAUGUGCCCAGAUGGGAUUAGCUUGUUGGUGGGGUAACGGCUCACCAAGGCGACGAUCCCUAGCUGGUCUGAGAGGAUGACCAGCCACACUGGAACUGAGACACGGUCCAGACUCCCACGGGAGGCAGCAGUGGGGAAUAUUGCACAAUGGGCGCAAGCCUGAUGCAGCCAUGCCGCGUGCAUGAAGAAGGCCUUCGGGUUGUAAAGUACUUUCAGCGGGGAGGAAGGGAGUAAAGUUAAUACCUUUGCUCAUUGACGUUACCCGCAGAAGAAGCACCGGCUAACUCCGUGCCAG